AUCAUCAUCCCCUUAUGUCUUGGCUUCACACAUGCUACAAUGGCCGGUCAAAGGGUUGCGAUACUGUGAGGUGGAGCUAAUCCCAAAAAGCCGGUCUCAGUUCGGAUUGGGGUCUGCNACUCGACCCCAUGAAGUCGGAGUCGCUAGUAAUCGCAGAUCAGCAACGCUGCGGUGAAUNCGUUCCCGGGCCUUGUACACACCCCNCNUCAAGNCACGAAAGUUGGUAACACCCGAACCGGUGGCCUAACCCCUUGUGGGAGGGAGCUGUCGAAGGUGGGANUGGCNGAUUGGG
rnacentral:rRNA from 1 species